rnacentral:rRNA from 1 species
UUUCGGAGAGUUUGAUCCUGGCUCAGGACGAACGCUGGCGGCGUGCCUAAUACAUGCAAGUCGAGCGGACUGAUGGGAGCUUGCUCCCUGAAGUCAGCGGCGGACGGGUGAGUAACACGUGGGUAACCUGCCUGUAAGACUGGGAUAACUCCGGGAAACCGGGGCUAAUACCGGAUAGUUCUUUUUCUCGCAUGAGGAAAAGUGGAAAGGCGGCUUCGGCUGCCACUUACAGAUGGACCCGCGGCGCAUUAGCUAGUUGGUGGGGUAACGGCUCACCAAGGCAACGAUGCGUAGCCGACCUGAGAGGGUGAUCGGCCACACUGGGACUGAGACACGGCCCAGACUCCUACGGGAGGCAGCAGUAGGGAAUCUUCCGCAAUGGACGAAAGUCUGACGGAGCAACGCCGCGUGAGU